UGGGGAAUUUUGGACAAUGGGCGAAAGCCUGAUCCAGCAAUGCCGCGUGUGUGAAGAAGGCCUUCGGGUUGUAAAGCACUUUUGUCCGGAAAGAAAUCCUUGGCUCUAAUACAGUCGGGGGAUGACGGUACCGGAAGAAUAAGCACCGGCUAACUACGUGCCAGCAGCCGCGGUAAUACGUAGGGUGCAAGCGUUAAUCGGAAUUACUGGGCGUAAAGCGUGCGCAGGCGGUUUGCUAAGACCGAUGUGAAAUCCCCGGGCUCAACCUGGGAACUGCAUUGGUGACUGGCAGGCUAGAGUAUGGCAGAGGGGGGUAGAAUUCCACGUGUAGCAGUGAAAUGCGUAGAGAUGUGGAGGAAUACCGAUGGCGAAGGCAGCCCCUGGGCCAAUACUGACGCUCAUGCACGAAAGCGUGGGGGAGCAAACAGGAUUAGAUACCCUGGUAGUCCAGCGCCCUAAACGAUGUCAACUAGUUGUUGGGGAUUCAUUCCUUAGUAACGUAGCUAACGCGUGAAGUUGACCGCCUGGGGAGUACGGUCGCAAGAUUAAAACUUAAAGGAAUUGACGGGGUCAUAA
rnacentral:rRNA from 1 species